rnacentral:rRNA from 1 species
CCCUUAGAUGUUCUGGGCCGCACGCGCGCUACAAUGAUGAAUUCAACGAGUUUAUAACCUUGGUUGAAAAGCCUGGGUAAUCUUUUGAACUUUCGUCGUGAUGGGGCUAGACCCUUGCAAUUCUUGGUCUCCAACGAGGAAUUCCUAGUAAACGCAAGUCAUUAACUUGCAUUGAUUACGUCCCUGCCCUUUGUACACACCGCCCGUCGCACCUACCGAUUGAAUGGUCCGGUGAAAUUUUCGGACUGGCGGGCCUCGAGCCCUGCCGGAAAGUUAAUUAAACCUUACCAUUUAGAGGAAGGUGAAGUCGUAACA